UUGAUUGCGGUUAAACUAAUG
rnacentral:piRNA from 1 species